AUUGAACGCUGGCGGCAGGCCUAACACAUGCAAGUCGAACGGUAACAGGAAGAUGCUUGCUUCUUUGCUGACGAGUGGCGGGCGGGUGAGAAAUGUCUGGGAAACUGCUUGAUGGAGGGGGACAACUACUGGAAACGGUAGCUAAUACCGCAUAACGUCGCAAGACCAAAGAGGGGGACCUUCGGGCCGCUUGCCAUCGGCUGUGCCCAGGUGGGAGUAGCUAGUAGGUGGGGUAACGGCUCACCUAGGCGACGAUCCGUAGCUGGUCUGAGAGGAUGACCGGCCACACUGGAACUGAGACACGGUCCAGACUCCUACGGGAGGCAGCAGUGGGGAAUAUUGCGCAAUGGGCGCAAGCCUGAUGCAGCCAUGCCGCGUGUAUGAAGAAGGCCUUCGGGUUGUAAAGUACUUUCAGCGGGGAGGAAGGGAGUAAAGUUAAUACCUUUGCUCAUUGACGUUACCCGCAGAAGAAGCACCGGCUAACUACGUG
rnacentral:rRNA from 1 species